UACAGAGGUCUCAAGCGUUGUUCGGAUUCACUGGGCUUAAAGGGCGCGUAGGCGGCUUGCCAAGUCGGGGGUGAAAUCUUUCGGCUCAACCGGAAAACAGCUUCCGAUACUGGCGAGCUUGAGUGGGGUAGGGGCGACUGGAACUUCCGGUGGAGCGGUGAAAUGCGUAGAUAUCGGAAGGAACGCCGGUGGCGAAAGCGAGUCGCUGGACCCCUCCUGACGCUGAGGCGCGAAAGCCAGGGGAGCAAACGGG
rnacentral:rRNA from 1 species